rnacentral:rRNA from 1 species
UGCCUACGGGGGGCAGCAGUGGGGGAUAUUGCACAAUGGGGGAAACCCUGAUGCAGCGACGCCGCGUGUGGGAAGACGGUCUUCUGGAUUGUAAACCACUGUCCCCAGGGACGAAAAUGACGGUACCUGGGGAGGAAGCUCCGGCUAACUACGUGCCAGCAGCCGCGGUAAUACGUAGGGGGCAAGCGUUAUCCGGAUUUACUGGGUGUAAAGGGGGCGCAGACGGCGAUGCAAGCCAGGAGUGAAAGCCCGGGGCCCAACCCCGGGACUGCUCUUGGAACUGCGUGGCUGGAGUGCAGGAGGGG